GGGUGGGUUGGACAUGUCACACCAUGAAAUCCCUAUGUUCUGAGUCAUCUUUGCCCAGCUUACUCAUGCUUUAUGAGUAGCUUUUUAUUUGCGUAACUUCAGAUACCAGUAUUAUUAGUGUGUAAAGUCCAGAAGCCACCAUCCUUUUUGUGAGCACUACACGCUCCAGCCUCACCCGAAGUUCAGCACACACGCUGCAGUAGCCUUUACUGAAACCCUGGAAGCUUUUGAAGCCUGAGCACCCCAUAACCAGGUCUAAGGUUCUCAGGGUGCUUGGUGCUGCCAUGCCAGGACAAGUGGCAUGGGCACCACCCUGCAGUGGUUCAACAGCUGCCUGUAGCUACCAAUGGGCUGGGCUGGCUCUGAAGGGCAGUGCUGGUGCUGGCGGGUCAGGGUUGCUGUGGGAGACUUGACAGGGGCGGGGGAGGCUCCUGUGGGUCCAUCAGCUCCAGGGUGACUCUUCAGCGCUGUGCUUGCUGCCCGCAGCGUGCAGGUGCUGUCCUGCCCGCUCCUCAUCCUGAACGCAGAAGAUGAUGCCAUCAUGCCUCCGCACCUGGGACGCAAGCUCUUUGAGACAGCACACAGUGCCUACAAGGACAAAACCAAGGUGAAGUUGAUUACCUUUCCCAAAAAGCUGGGCCUGGGCCAUGACCACAUCUCGUUCAACCUGGAGCUGCCUGCCUUGGUGAAAGACUUCUUGAACAUUAAGUGAUGGCAGCUGCUGCAUGCAGCAACCACAAGCACUUCCUCAAGCCCACACCAGGAACCUGUUAUGGCACUGAACUUACUGUUGUAAGUAAUAAAAACUACUGAAAAAUG